UAAGUCUCCUGAAGGAACGUUAAAGACGAUGACGUUGAUAGGCCGGGUGUGUAAGCGCAGCGAUGCGUUGAGCUAACCGGUACUAAUGAACCGUGAGGCUUAACCUUAC
rnacentral:rRNA from 1 species